UCUAUAUGUCGACCACGAGUGACCUUGACUGCACACGAGAACGGCGGCCGGGGCCGGAAUCCUCAUCCUCCAAUCGAGUUUCCCUUCCUCCUCCAGGCGAAUCCCAAUCUCUCGCCGUCGAGACACCGGGGAGUGGAUCGAGGCUGGCGCGGUAAUCAUCAGGCGAGAGAUCGAGGAGAUUGAUGGGAUGAGAAUCCCGCCGGCGACCGGAGAAGCGGCAGACGAGGUCACUGAAAUCUGCUCGGGAUAGACAAUUGGUGGAUUGGUUACUCAGGGGCCUGGACAGCAAGAUAAGCCCUAGUGGGCGGUGAACACAUCGAGGACCAGGGGCAGAUGUAAAGAGAUCUAGGAGCGCCUGGCCGCGCCCCAGCACCCAUCGCCACCACCGGCACGCCAAUCGCUGCCGUCUCCACCGGCUGCCAAGCCAUGAGCAAGCGAGCUAAGACGACGGCGUUGGAGGCACAGACCACCAUGGUGGGUUCUGCUGCUGUCCAGUUAAGAGUAGACGACGAGCUAGCGAGUCAGGCUCCCAUCGGCUAUGCUGUCUACCCCGACAUCAUCUCCGUCGGGGAACACCUCUGGAGGAUUGAGUGCUUACCGCGUGGGGAUGUGGAGGAUGGCAGUGGCGAAUAUAUUUCAAUCUUCCUCAGGCACAUGAGCAAAUCCACAAGUGUUACAGCCAUCUUCGAGGUCUUCUUGAUUGACAAUUACGGCAUACCAUCUAUGACAGAGACACGAAGGAUUCUUCGUACGUUCCGAAUCGCCACAGGUCGAGGCAGAGGCUCUGGUGACUCCUGGGGAUGGAGGCACUUUGUCAAGAGAACUAUUCUGGAGGACAGUUACGUAGAUGAGGAGUCGCACUUCACAUUUGUUUGUGCCAUCAUGAUCAUCGAUGACUGCCCUAUUUGUGUGCCCCCUUCAGACAUCACGACCCAUCUUGGCCGACUGCUAGAUGACACUGACGGGACGGAUGUGUCAUUCGUCAUCGACGGCGAGACAUUCACUGCUCACCGAGCAGUGCUUGCCGCCCGCUCAUCGGUCUUUAGAGCAGAGCUCUUUGGUUCCAUGGCCGAGGCUACAAUGUCAUCCAUCACACUAAAGGACAUCACACCUGCGGCAUUCAAAGCUAUGCUUCGUUUCAUGUACACAGAUGCCUUACCUGGAGAGAGCGAGCUUGGGGAAUCUCCUGUUGAGAUGUUUCAGGAUCUACUUGCUGCAGCUGAUCGAUACGCACUGGACUGACUGAAGUCUAUGUGUAGCCGGAAGUUAUGGGAUAAAGUGUCGGUAGAAACAGUUGCAACUACCUUAGCUUGUGCAGAAACCUACAACUGUCCAGAGUUGAAGAACAAGUGCUUUGAUUUCCUUGCGGUGGAGAAAAACUUCAAGGAGGCUGUGUUCACCGAUGGUUAUGCAUGGUUGGUUCUGAAAUUCCCAUUGGUUACUGCUGAGCUUAAGGAGAGGAUGCAGGGGAUGGAGGAUUGAUGCUACCCCUGAAUUGAAUAUGCAUAAUUAUGCAUCAGUGCGUAGGCCGAGAGAGCAGAACUCUUCCUUUCUCUAAAAAUAACAAAAGUACCUGUGCAAUUCAUGUUUUGUUUGAUAUUUCCACCAAAUUCGAAAUUCCCCUUGAAGUCAUUUUAAAUUGUGCGAACUUAGCACGUAUUAGAAGAAAAAAAGGAAAAAAAAAGUUUAUUUUUGGCUCGUCAACUAUUUUCGAAGUGAAGUUUUCCCCUGAACUCUAUGCUGGAUAUUCUGGGUCCUUCAAGUUGGAGAUUUGGAAUCACUGAAGCUGGUUUAGAUGAUAAGGGCUUGUAGUACGUGGUGGGUUCAAAGGCGCCUCGAAGUUUGCAUGGGCCAGCCUCAGUCAGUCACCAAUCAAGCCCUAGCGGGGAGUAAGUAGCAACGGAAGAACUCGCGAGCGGCGGCGUACGGCGGACGCGCCGCCAAGGAUCGGGAUCGGCCGGCGCCAGCGCCGGCGCCUGGAUCGCCACCACCAGCAGGCCAAGCGCCGCCAACCCCGGCGGCGAGCAAGCCAUUGAGUCCCCCUCUCCUCUGCUCUUCUUCUUCGAUCGGUUCCUUGAAAUCACAGAUCGGUGAGCAAGCGAAUCAAGACGGCAGGGCCGGAGUCGAGGACGACGAUCGCGGGAUCCGCCGUGGUCGUGUUCAGAGUAGACCACGAGCAAGGGAAGCAGCUCCCCAUCGGCAAGGCCAUCCACUCUGAGGUCGUCUCCGUCGGGGGCCAUCUCUGGAGGAUCGGCUGCUACCCCAUGGCCAGAAUGAGGACGACAAGGGGGAGUACCUCUCCGUCUUCCUCGCGCAACUAUUUUCAGUUAAGUGCGAAAAGUCACAUACUCUUCUCAUUUUGGACGAGCUACUGAUGCACCUAUACACCGAAGGACCUGAGCAUAAGGAAAGAAGAAAGAAAUGGCUGAAGUGAAGAAAAAAAAGACCAACUUGCGAAAGAAGAAGAAAGGAGAAGGGCCUGGAUGUAAAAAUGUCAAAGGGAUUAAAUCCCUAACUCCUGCUCUCGAUCCCCUUGAGCCUGGCACUUCCCCUUUCCCCUAUCUCCUGAUGCACCACCGGCCGCCGCCGCGGCCAGGCCAGCGUGGCGGCGCGCCACCGAGCUAGCUGCAGCCCCUUCCCGAGAUCCACUACUACUCCUCCUCCAUACCGCCUCCGCCGGCAGCGGGCUGCACGAAUCGUCUCCAUCAACACCUGCUACUCCCCCACGCACCGAAGAAAUCAACAGCCAAGGAACGCGAGCACGACAACCACCUGCAACAUCCUCCCCUUCUCCAAGUGCUGUUGCCCUCUCCUUUGGUUAAAUCCCCACCGAACUCUCUCUCUCUAUCUCCUACUUGUUGCUUGCUGUUUGUGUGUACAAGAACUGAGAAAGAACAUGCUGUUGAUCUUUGGAAAGUUAGUUGAGCCUUGCACUGUGUUAAACUCUCUCUUUAGCUUCUGGCCGAUGUGUGCACUUAAUUAUUGUUCUAUGCUAUAAGAUUCGUAACCUGUUUGUUUAUAUGUCAAUGAAGAUCUUUGAGUUGUUCUACUCUAA